rnacentral:rRNA from 1 species
CAAGUCGAGCGAUGAAGUUCUUCGGAAAUGGAUUAGCGGCGAACGGGUGAGGAACACGUGAAGAAUCUGCCCUCACUUUGGGAUAACACCGGGAAACCGGUGCUAAUACCGAAUAUUGAAACAUAAGUGGCAUCACUGAGUUUGAAGAAUUUCGGUGAGGAUGACUUCGCGGCCUAUCAGCUAGUUGGUGAGGUAAUGGCUCACCAAGGCAACGACGGGUAGCCGGCCUGAGAGGGCGACCGGCCACACUGGGACUGAGACACGGCCCAGACCCC